ACCUGUUUAAUAAAAACAUGUCUUCUUGAAUAUAAUUUGAAGUCUGACCUGCUCUAUGAAUUUUAAAUGGCCGCAGUAUUUUGACUGUGCUAAGGUAGCAUAAUAAUUAGUUUCUUAAUUAGAAGCUUGUAUGAAUGGUUUGAUGAAAAAUCUUCUUUCUUAUUUUUAAAUGUUUAACUUUAUUUUUAAGUAAAAAAGCUUAAAUUUUUUUAGGGGACGAGAAGACCCUAUAGAAUUUUAUAAAAUCUUAUUUUAUUAUUUUUUAGAAUUUAAUUUUUAAUUUAAAAUUUUAUUUAAUUGGGGUGAUUAAAAAAUUAGAAUAACUUUUUUUAAAAACUGUACAUUAUAUAUGAUUAAUUGAUCCGAUUAAUCGAUUAUAAGAGAAAUUACUUAGGGAUAACAGCGUAUUAUAAUUUUUUAGAGUUCUUAUCGAAAAAAUUGAUUGCGAC
rnacentral:rRNA from 1 species